AGAAGCAGUUAUAUCCCUAAGUCAUAAAGCAGCAGCUGGGCCCAAGAUUCCUGGCAUCCUUCCAAUCUCACCUCCCCCGCCCUAUUUACCCAGGAGCAAAAGAAGCGGAGGGAAGCAACACAGCGCAGCGUGACUACGUGCUUGAUCUGUCUCCUCCUAACGGGCAUGCAGAACCCCAGCUUUUAAGUUGGUCUCCGCAGAGGACAACUGCAUUCUCCAGCCUCCUGUACAGCAGAGAGUGCCAUGUGACUAAGACCAAGUUCUAACCAGUGGGAUCAAAGCAGGGAAGUGUUGCCUUCUUUGCCCCUUCCUGCUGGCUGGAAUAUGACAAAACGGCUGCAGCAUGAGCAACCUUCUUGGGCCCUGAGGUGGAAGCCACCUGUUGGUUGACCGACCAGAUGGUGGAGUGACCAGAUAGAAGGGGCCUGGUGAUUGUGGAUUCUGCCACACUACCUCUGGUCCCCUAUACCUAUGUGAAAGGAAAAGAAAUGUCUGCCAUGUU
rnacentral:lncRNA from 10 species